AGGUCAACUUUGUUUCAAAUCAUCACUCAGAUGCAUCUCUUUGGAUCCUUGACUCUGGAGCAACCCAUCAUGUCAAAACAGAGUCAAAUAAUCUUGAAGAAUAAUCCGACAAUGAGGAAGUUUCCAUGGGUGAUGGAUCUCAAAACUCGGAGAUUGCUGGUAGAAGGCCAGAAUAAACAUGGACUCUAUGAGUGGCCCAGAGGGAUCAUGUGUCACCUUCCGCCAACUUCACCUCCACCAAAGAUUCCCCUCAACUCUGGCAUCGUCGCUUGGGUCACCCUCAUCUGAAAAUCUUAGACUUAGUACUUAAUAAGUUCACUUCCCUUUACCACAAAAGAAAAGUUUCAUUUUGUAAUUCGUGCUCAUCAAAUAAAGCUCAUCAUUUGCCAUUUCAACGACUCACUUAAAAUAGUAAUGCACCACUUCAAACUUUGUUUAGUGAUUUAUGGGGUCCAUCACUCAUGUUAUCCAUUGAUAAAAAGUUGUAUUACUGCAUUUUUGUUGAUCAUUACACCAAAUAUACUUGGUUGUAUACAAUCAAAAAUAAAAAUGAAAUCGCUUCAAUUUUUGCAAACUUUCAUGCUUUAGUGGAAAAAAAUUUUAAACACAAAAUUGUCUCACUUUAUACUGAUGGAGGGGGUGAAUUCACAGGUCUUAAACAAUACCUACAAUGCCAUGGCAUUGAACAUUUGAUCUUUCCACCCUACGCGCCCCAAUGAAAUAGUCACAUUGUCAAAACGGCUCGAAUUCUUCUCAAUGAAGCCUCACUACCAUCUGAAUUGUGGUCCUUUGCCUGUCAUAAUGCAAUCUAUCUCAUAAAUAGACUCCUUAUACCUGGCCUGAAUAAUGAGCGACGACAUAGUCACAUUGUCAAAACGGCUCGAACUCUUCUCAAUGAAGCCGCACUACAAUCUGAAUUUUGUUCCUUUGCCUGUCAUCAUGCAAUUUAUCUCAUAAAUAGACUCCUUACACCUGGCCUGAAUAAUGAUUCUCCGUAUAAGAAAUUAUUUGGCAAACCACCAAAAUACUCUUCACUGAAAAUUUUUGGUUGUCUUUGUUAUCCAUGGCUUAAGCCAUAUACACAAAAUAAGUUUCAGCCUUGUGUCUAAUUAGGAUUUUUUAUUGUUCAUCAUGCACACCUCUGCUUUGGUCCAGUGCACUCAAAAAUUUUCGUCAGUCGUGAUGUUCAUUUUGUGAAGACAUUUUUGCUUUCAUUCAAAUGUUCUCACACUUGCAAAAUAAGUUUUCCAAGUUACAAUGGGAAAUCAUAGAGUCCCAAGUUUGUAAGGAUACUCAGCCAGCAAUCCAAUUAAAUUUGGACUCCAAUCUAGUUCCAACUCUUCCACCUCCUAUUCCUAUCACUCCUAUUCCUAUCACCUUAACAGUUCCCUCUAAUUCAAACACACCAGAGUCCAGAAUUGAAAGGCAGUUUACCAACAAUGUCCACUUCAUCAGCAAUGAUUCCUAUCUCUACUCAACCUCCUUCACUACUUAAUGAAGCAGCCCACAACUCUCACCCAUUACUCGAUUCUCAUCGUCCAUCACACAACCAACAUCCACCGAAUCCACCAGCAAUUAUGCCCCCUCUACCAUUCGAUGUUGUCACAAGGUCCAAAAAUAAUAUCUUCACACCAAAGAAAAAAUUCAGCUUCUUGGCUCCCCUUUCUCCCACUCCAAAUACCUUUAAGCAAGCUGUUAAGCACAUUGAAUGGAAGAGUGCAACGGAUAUGGACUACAAAGCCUUAAUGAGAAACCAAACUUGGGAACUAGUACCUCGGAACCCGAUAAACAAUGUUGUUGAUUGUAAGUGGUUAUUUCGUAUUAAAAAAAAGGCUGAUGGUUGUAUUGAUAGGUACAAGGCGUGAUUAGUCGCAAAAGGUUUCACACAAUGUCCAGGAUUGGAUUUUCAUGAAACUUUCAAUCCGGUUGUCAAACCAACCACCAUCAGAAUUGUCCUUUCUAUUGCAAUUCAAAAUAACUGAAAAGUUCAGCAACUUGAUGUGAAUAAUGCAUUUUUGCAAGGUAACUUAUAGGAGAAAGUAUUCAUGGCACAGCUGAAAGGCUAUGUCAACCCUGAUUUUCCAAAUCAUGUCUGUCGUCUCAAAAAGACCAUUUACGGCAUGAAACAAGCUCCUCGUGCCUAAUAUGAAGCUCUCAAAUCUCACUUGACUACAAUUGGGUUUGUUAAUUCUGAAUCAGAUGUUUCUCUAUUUAUUUUCACAUCCGAAACUGUCAUGAUGUAUAUUAUAGUGUAUGUUGAUAAUAUCAUCAUUAGUGGAAAUUACCCAACCUUGGUCACACAUGUAAACUCUCUGACAACUUUUCCCUAAAGAACCUUGGUGGACUCAACUAUUUUUUGGGGAUCGAAGUUAAACAUGUUCCAAAUAGGAUUGUCUUAUCACAAUCCAAAUACGUACUUGAGAUUCUCUCAUAUGCGGAUAUGUACCCAUGUGCUCAAGCUCACCACCCAAAGCAGGCGAUGGUUCACCUACUCCCGAAACAACCUUGUAUCGACGACUAUUGGUAAAUUGCAAUACUUAUUAUUCACGCGCCACACGCCUUGAUAUUCCUUUGCAGUUAAUCAACUAUCACAACUUAUGCAAUCUCCAAAUUUGGAGCAUUUGAAUGCAGUAAAAAUGGUGCUGCGAUACCUCAAGGCAUCAUCAACGUCGUGUCUGCAAAUCUCUAGCCACUCUGAUAGUAAUCUGUAUAUUUAUGUUGAUGCUAAAUGGGCAGGUGAUCCUUGUGACAGAAUCUCCACAUUUGGUUGCAUACUCUUCUUGGGCCAAAUUCGACCUGUUGGUCCUCUAAGAAGCAACAAUCAGCUGCUCGUUCCUUUACUGAAGCAAAAUACAAUCGGUAGCCAAUGCACUCUCUGAACUUACUUGUAGGUUCUUGAUUGAAAUGCGAUAUCAAGUCUUGCAAACACCAAGCAUUUUUUGUGAUAAUAUUGGCGUUUCAUAUCUCAGCAAAACCCCCGUCUUCCACGCUAAGAUGAAGCACAUUGCAGUAGAUUUCACUACCUCCGCAACAGUGUAAACUUAGGUAGAGUAAUAGUCAAAUAUCUUCCUGCAGGGGAUCAAAUUGCAAACAUUCUCACAAAGCCGCUGCCCAAGCCCGCCUUCCUUCGAUGUUUAUUAAGUUAGGCGUUGUUGCACCACACCUAACUUGAGGGUGUGUCUUGACAUACUCACUAGUUUGUUAGUUUGUUAUCAAUUCUUAUCAAGUUGUUAGGGUAGAUUUAGAUUAAGUUUUUAAAGUAGAUCGUUAGAUUUAGUCAACUUAGUUAUAUAUUAAGUUAGAAUAAUUCCUUAGAAUUAGUCAAGUUAGUUAUAUCUUACUUGUAUUUGAGUUGAUGCUACGUUUGAAUAAAAGUCAUUCAAGUUUGCUUUGAUUCUCAAUCUCUUUAAUUUGAGACCAAAUCCAAAUGGAGGGUAAAAUUGUUCUAUUUAUUUAGGGCCUAUGAAUAGUUGGUAAGCAUGUUUGGUCCUUUUUCCUUUUAUGAAUAUUAUCACUAUUUCCACAUCGAUGCAUUUUUCUCCAUCGUGGAAAAAAGAGAGUUCUUUUUUGUUUAGGGGGUAUGCAACAGACUAUGGAAGAGACAAACAACUGAUGAAAGGUUUUUGACUUGAUUGCGCUCAGUUACAUCCCAUGAUAACCGUGCCCUUAUUGACCCAGUAAACAUUAGUGAGUUGGGUCAUUGAUGCAAAGGAUUGGGUGUCGAGCCGAGCUUUAGCGAGCCCAAUCGACCUGAUCAGUUGAGCUUAGCCUAUGUGAACUCUUCAAUGUUUAGUUCUAUAUACUACUAUGUCAUUAAAAAAUAUUUAAUUUAUAACAAAUUGGUUAAUCAAGAAAAAUAAGUAUUAGGGGUCGUUUGAUAGGUGUACAAGAAUCGUGUUGAGUAGAGUAUAUUAGUAAUGUUGGUAUUAAUAUGUUGACAUUAUGCGGAGAUUAUUUCUUAUGCACGGUUUGGUUUGGUGUAAAUAACAUGCUUUGCAUAAUAUCUGAAAAUAAUUAUUUGUUUACAAAAACACCCUCCACAAAUGUGUGGGAAGGACGUGGGAACACUAAGGGCAAUUGUGUCUUUAACCAUGCUAAUGCAUGCACUAAAAAUCCUCACAUUGCUAAUACCAUUGUUCGUCAUCUAUCAGUUAUACAUAGCAUGAUACCAAAAAGAUGUACAAAAAAAAGAAGGUAUUAGUAAUGCAUAAAACUAAUGUCUUAUUUUUUUUUUCUAAUGCAUCCUUGCAAAUGACCCUGUAGUAUAAUUUGGUUAUUGCAUUCAAGUGUGAUUGAAUUAUAUGUAUAAUUUGGUUAUCGCAUUCAAGUGUGAUUGAAUUCUAUGUGUUAUUAGUUUAAGUUAGACCUUAAAUUUAAAUGAAGGUAAUUUUAUAUUAAACAUAGAAUAGAAUAUUCAGAAAAAAAUAAUAUAAAAAUCACAAUACAUUCAA